rnacentral:lncRNA from 10 species
AGCUACUCCGGAGGCUGAGACAGAAGAAUCGCUUGAACCUGGGAGGUGGAGAUUGCGGUGAGCCGAGAUCAUGCCAUUGCACUCCAGCCUGGACAACAAGAGCAAAACUUUGUCUCAAAAAAGAAAAAGAAAAAGAAAAAAGAAAAGAAAAGAAAUAGAACCUCAAAGUGGAAGAGAAUUGGCAGCUUACUUACCCUCCCAGUGCUGAGUCUUGCCUACCAAGCCUUCCAAGCCAGACAGUCCCUGAGAAAUGAGGAGGCAGAGACCUUUUCUUCAUGUCCUGCUAACCUGCCCCAGACCAAACAGUGCUGGAUCCUGGCUUUUAAGCUGAAUACACAAGGCCCUCUGAGACUUACCCACCUCUACCCUCAUCACCAGUCUCUGCCUAGCUCAUAUAAAAUUUUUUUUUAAUUUUAAUUUUUGUGAGUGCAUAGUAGGUGUAUAUGCCUAGCUCAUUUGUAACUGUUCCUUCAAGAUGUGGCUCAGAGCACCCUCUAGGAAGCCUUCCAUGAUCUUCCCCAGGUUACUCCUCAAAACCCUCUGGGUUUUCUCUCUUGCAGCAGUUAAUCACAGUGGUCUAUGAUCUGUUUACAGGGAGAUCUCCCCUCUAGCCUGUGAGACACCUGAGAACAGUUUUGAAUCUGAUUCAUCUAGGUAAAGCUAGAUUACAGUGGCUCAUGCCUGUAAUCCUGACACUUUGGGAGGCUGAGGUGGGAGGAUCACUUAAGCCCAGGAGUUUGAGACCAGCCUGGGCGACAUAGUGAGACCUGUCUCUACAAAAAAUUUUUUUAAAUUAGCUGGGUGUGGUGGUGUGUGCCUAUAGUCCAGGUACUUGGGAGGCUGAGGUGGGAGGAUCACUUGAGCCCAGGAGUUUGAGGCUGCAGUGAGCCAUGAUACAGCCAUUGCACUCCAGCUUGGGUGACAGAGUGAGACCCUGUCUCAAAACAAAAACAAAAACAAAAAAAGAAAAAGAAAAAGCUGGGGAGGACUUGAAACCAAGCAAGCUUCUUUUUCUUUCUUUCUUCUCAUCCUUCCCUCCUUCUUGCCUCCCUCCACCCCCUCUUUUGUUCUCCAUUUCUCUCUUCCCUUUUAAGAUGAAAGACAUCUGGUCCCCCACCCCACCCCUGCUAUUUUGUGAGAUUUCCCAGAUGAGCCAAGAUCUGGAAAACUACUCAUGGCCUGACUGGCGUUACAUUCUCCAUGGGAGAUGUCAAUAUGAGGAAAGAACAGGACUCAGAGAGAGAGAGAGAGAGAGAGAGAGUAUGUGUGUGUGUGUGUGUGUGUCUGUGUGUGUCCAGGACCUGACCUGGGGAGGGUGAGAUGCCAGCUCCUGGGCCUCAGGCAUCAUGGCCAGGCAGUUCAUUCUCAUGCUCUGAUCUGUGGCUUUCCUAGAGCAUCUGGGCUGCUUACCACUUAAAGAUGUUCUAGGACUUGGAAAGCCAGGUCCUGGGAGUGCAGGAGCUCAGGCCGUGUCUCCCUGACAGCUCUACCCCAGGAAGACCAGCUGGCUGCAUUUCAAUCCUGCACCGCCACCCGCACCUGUGGCCCUCACACCUCUGCUUGUUCCCAGCCCUGUGGUCUGUGAAUUUCCCACAGAGCCCGGGAUAAAAGUACGUGACCUGAAGCCUCUGCCAGAGGAAGAGGGCGGUCCCCAGGCCCACCCAGUCCCUACCUCCUGAAUCACCUUAUCUCCUUCUCAGCUGUUGACCAGUCCCUUUGUUUAUGGUGCAGGAGAGGGAACCACUCAGCCCAUAAAUCACCUGCCCCACCUUUCCUUAUCCUCCAGCUCUCCUCUCCCUCCCUAUUGGUCCUGCCCACCCAUUCCCCUGUCCCCUCCUCACAGCUGAGAAGUGGUUAUAUGGCUUGGCAGUGAAAUGGAUUCCGGAGCCACACUGCCCAGGUUCCCAAGUCCAUGCUUCACCAUGGUCACCAAAGUCACCAAGCUUUGUGACUUUGGGAAAGCCAUUGAACCUUUUAAAUU